GGGGGACAUGCGCGGCUACACAUGCAGUCGAACGGAUCCUUCGGGAUUAGUGGCGGACGGGUGAGUAACACGUGGGCACUUGCCCUUUGGUUCGGAACAACUCAGGGAAACUUGAGCUAACACCGGAUGUGCCCUUCGGGGGAAAGAUUUAUCGCCAUUGGAGCGGCCCGCGUCUGAUUAGCUAGUUGGUGAGGUAAAGGCUCACCAAGGCGACGAUCAGUAGCUGGUCUGAGAGGAUGAUCAGCCACAUUGGGACUGAGACACGGCCCAAACUCCUACGGGAGGCAGCAGUGGGGAAUCUUGCGCAAUGGGCGAAAGCCUGACGCAGCCAUGCCGCGUGAAUGAUGAAGGUCUUAGGAUUGUAAAAUUCUUUCACCGGGGACGAUAAUGACGGUACCCGGAGAAGAAGCCCCGGCUAACUUCGUGCCAGCAGCCGCGGUAAUACGAAGGGGGCUAGCGUUGCUCGGAAUUACUGGGCGUAAAGGGAGCGUAGGCGGACUGUUUAGUCAGAGGUGAAAGCCCAGGGCUCAACCUUGGAAUUGCCUUUGAUACUGGCAGUCUUGAGUACGGAAGAGGUAUGUGGAACUCCGAGUGUAGAGGUGAAAUUCGUAGAUAUUCGGAAGAACACCAGUGGCGAAGGCGACAUACUGGUCCGUUACUGACGCUGAGGCUCGAAAGCGUGGGGAGCAAACAGGAUUAGAUACCCUGGUAGUCCACGCUGUAAACGAUGAGUGCUAGUUGUCGGCAGGCAUGCCUGUCGGUGACGCACCUAACGCAUUAAGCACUUCCGCCUGGGGAGUACGGUCGCAAGAAUAAAACUCAAA
rnacentral:rRNA from 1 species